UACGUAGGGUGCGAGCGUUGUCCGGAAUUAUUGGGCGUAAAGAGCUCGUAGGCGGUGUGUCACGUCGGCCGUGAAAACCUGCAGCUUAACUGUGGGCGUGCGGUCGAUACGGGCAUCACUGGAGUUCGGCAGGGGAGACUGGAAUUCCUGGUGUAGCGGCGAAAUGCGCAGAUAUCAGGAGGAACACCGGUGGCGAAGGCGGUUCUCUGGGCAUGUCCUGACGCUGAGGAGCGAAAGUGUGGGGAGCGAACAGG
rnacentral:rRNA from 1 species